ACACUCCUACGGGAGGCAGCAGUGGGGAAUUUUGGACAAUGGGCGAAAGCCUGAUCCAGCAAUGCCGCGUGUGUGAAGAAGGCCUUCGGGUUGUAAAGCACUUUUGUCCGGAAAGAAAUCCUUGGCUCUAAUACAGUCGGGGGAUGACGGUACCGGAAGAAUAAGCACCGGCUAACUACGUGCCAGCAGCCGCGGUAAUACGUAGGGUGCGAGCGUUAAUCGGAAUUACUGGGCGUAAAGCGUGCGCAGGCGGUUUGCUAAGACCGAUGUGAAAUCCCCGGGCUCAACCUGGGAACUGCAUUGGUGACUGGCAGGCUAGAGUAUGGCAGAGGGGGGUAGAAUUCCACGUGUAGCAGUGAAAUGCGUAGAGAUGUGGAGGAAUACCGAUGGCGAAGGCAGCCCCCUGGGCCAAUACUGACGCUCAUGCACGAAAGCGUGGGGAGCAAACAGGAUUAGAUACCCUUGUAGUCCC
rnacentral:rRNA from 1 species